rnacentral:misc_RNA from 1 species
AUAAACACGGUAUACCAGGUAGCAAAAUUAAUGUGUGACAACCGAGUCCAAAAUACACCAAGCCCCAGUGAGGAAAAAACCACCUCAGAAGUUUGGACUUCCUAAUUAUUCACUAAAGAGAAGAACAAAAGUAGAGAUGGACUAAAAUACCAACAUAUAAACCAAAAUGUCGAGGUUACCAAAGAAGGGAGACAACAGACCAGUUGCCGUGUCUGACAACAACAGACCAGUUAUCGCCUCAGACAACAGGCCUGUAGCUGUGUCAGACAACAACAGGCCAGUAGCUGUUUCUGACAACAACAGGCCAGUAGCUGUUUCUGACAACAACAGGCCAGUAGCUGUUUCUGACGACAACAGACCGGUAAUUGCAAGAGACGACAACAGACCAGUUGUUGCGUCAGAAAAGUUGUUUGUAUGUGCAAUCGACUUUGGAACAACCUAUUCUGGCUACGCAUAUUCAACGAGGCAAAAUCCAAUUAAAAUAUAUUGCCCUCAUUGGCAUUCAGGCAGCACCACUCUCAUUUCUUACAAGACCCCUACUACUGUACUUCUAGACGAACAGAUGAAUUUUCUAGCGUUUGGCUACGAAGCUGAAAAGAAAUACCUUGAGUUAGCUGAAGAUGAUGCUUCUGAUGAUUUCUACUAUUUCCGAAGAUUCAAAAUGAUCCUGUAUGAUAAACUUCGAUCAGGAGAAAGACUUUCUACCAAGACAACAGUUUCAGACAUAAUAGGAAAAGAAAUGCUAGCUGUAGACGUAUUUUCCCAUGCAAUUAAAUAUCUUAAAGACCACUUGCUGAAGGAGCACAAAGAUCGAGGCACGUCAAUAAAAGACUUGGAUAUACAUUGGGUACUGACUGUCCCGGCCAUUUGGGACGAUCCGGCGAAACAAUUUAUGAGAAAAGCAGCAGAAAAGGUAACACUGCAAUUUCUAAAGUAUUCUUAUUAUCUAGAACUCUGUUCAACCAUGAAAUUAUAUUGCAUGAGGUAAGAGAAAAAAAUCGACAAUAUCAUUCGAACAAAAUUUUUGGAUUUCAUGGUUGUUUUUUUUCACAAUAUUUAUACAACCCAUUUUGGACGAAAAUGUAGGGAACUUAUAAAUUAUCAUGUGUGUUAUAAGUGUAAUGUUUAGCCUUUGAAAUAGUUUUACCAUUACCAUAAUUUGACAUAGAAAUUCCCUUCAAGAAAAAUUAUUGUUUCAUUGACAAUCUCUCAUUUGGCGCGGUGAAUUUUGGUUAAAGUGAUGUCCUGAUGUUUUUAUGAUUUUCAAAUAACUUUGGGGUCGUUGAUCAGUUGGCUUUCAUUGUUUUGUUUUUUCCAGGCAGGAAUAGACAGCAAUAGAUUAGUGAUCGCGUUGGAGCCUGAGGCAGCAUCUAUCCUCUGUAAAGAGUUGCAGUUGGCGAAAUAUGAGGAUGGUUCUGAUAGUAUUAACGUGUUUUCACCUGGACAGAGAUAUCUCGUAUUAGACGCAGGAGGUAAGAAUAAAACGACUCUUCAAAAACUAAAUAAAAUUUGCUAAAGGGAUGUUAUCAUAAACUCUUUAAUUUGAUAAAAUAAAAUUCGUGUGUUGUGAAUGUUCAUGCGCAUGCCUGCAACAUAUAAUUACCGUCGUACAAUACUAGUAAUAAUAAGAGAUAGAUUCGUCCUCUAAGAUAAUUUCGAAAUAUUUUUUGCUUUUUAUUUCUAUAAAUCAUUUAUUUUUUUGCGAAGGUGGGACCAUUGACAUGACUGUACACGAGGUGAAGUCUGGAGGGAAACUUCACGAACUGAGUCGAGCCAGCGGGGGAGACUGGGGCGGUGUAUUGGUGGACAAAACCUUCAAACAGAUGCUUAUUGACAUAGUCGGAGAGGAGUUUAUGGAGGAAUAUUGUCGUUUUAACACGGCGGAUUACAUUGAUGUAUUGAGAGAUUUUGAAAUAAAGAAACGUGAAAAAUCAGAAACAAAACUGGUCACUUUGAAAAUUUCACCGACAUUUUCGGAAAACUUUAAGAAGAAAAAUAGUAAAAGCAUUUCACAAAAAACAAAGGAUACCAAGUACGCAAAAUUAUUGAAAUGGGAAGGAGACAAAAUCCGAAUGGAUAGAGAAUUGUUUGAAAGUUUUUUCACUCCGUCCUGUAAACACAUAGUCGAUCACGUUGGAGAGAUUUUAUCUAAUCCAAAAGUAAAAGGGACAAAAGUAAUUCUAAUGGUUGGCGGCUUUUCUGAAUCGGCAAUACUACAAGAUGCUGUCAGAAAAGCUUUCCCAGAAUGCCGAGUGGUGGUUCCGCAUGAAGCAGGACUAGCUGUUCUAAAAGGCGCCGUGUUGUUUGGACAUGAUCAAAGCGUUGUUGCAUCUAGGGUGGCAAAAUUCACCUACGGAAUAGGUUGUUCAGAACUAUUUGAUCCGAAAAAACACGACCCCAAAAGAAAAACGAAGGAUAAAAGAGAUGGAAAAGAGAGAUGUCAUUGUAUAUUUAGCAAGCACGUUGAAGCGGGAGAUGUUCUGAUUUUAAAUGAAGAUCAAGGAAAACAUGUCUAUCAUCCAAUUUAUGCCGAUCAAACAACCAUAUCAUUCCCUGUUUACACGUCAAAAGAACCGAACCCGAUGUACACAGAUGAACCUGGUUGUAAUCUUUUGGGAACUUUGGAAAUGGACAUUUCCGACAUUACUGGCGGGUUGGAGCGAGGAUUUGAAGCAAAAUUUCAGUUUGGGGGAACAGAGAUCACUGUUAGUGCCAGAAACGUUCGUACAAAUGAGACUGCGGCCGCAGAAUUUAAUUUCCUUGACGACGAACCUUGAUGAAUUGAAUAUUUAUGAUGCAUAUAUAUUCUAGUAAUUUUUGCUAUUCUAAACAUGUUUAACUUUGAAUGAAAAAAAAAAUCAUCUUGACAAAAUAUAUGAUAUGUUCAUUCAUCAAAGAAUUUUAAUUUUAUGAAAAUUAUUGAAACAACUGGUUAUGGUACAUGCAAUUGAAAAUUUCGGUUUAAUAUUCUUGUCAACUUCAUUUAUAUAAACGGGGGUUGGGGUGCUCAAGAUUUUUUAUCAAUAAAAAAGCAGCUUUUAAGAUUUUAAUAUUAAGAUUGAUGAAAUGUAUCAUGUAUGUAAACCAUGCAAAUUGUUUUGUAAAUAUAUUAUGAAUUCACAGACCAGAAUGUAAAAGAAUGGUAUUUAAGUUCAUUUUUUUUUACCAGAAAAUAUCCUAAAUAUUUGACAAUCGUUCGAAUAAUGCAAAGAACAAUUCAAAUAAUAAAAAUAUUUUCGACUUU